AGGGUCCUAACCACAGAGGUUCGACAAAUGGUCCUUACCACAGACGAAAUCAGAGCGAGAACUAUUUACUCAAAGCAAGACUGUCGACCAAUUCGGCAAAAAUGGACAUCAACAUCUUGGCACAAUCUUUCUUCAUUGCUGUUUUAAUUUGCUUAACAAACCCCACUGGUACUCAAGAUAUCCAACAUGUGGCUGGAAAAAAACUUCAUGCUUUGAACAAAUACGAGGUACUAGCAAGACAACUGGGAUCCAAAGAGCAAAGCUCCCAAACACUGAAACGCAGAAGUCAGGCAACCAGGAUUUACCCAAGGGCACCUAAACGACUGUACCAACCAAAGCCUGGGCGAAGAAGGAGGGGGAGAUGGUGGGGGAAAUAGCUACAUGUUUAAAGAAUUUGCUCCUUGCAGACAAUGAAUGCCACAAUUUGAUCUUGCAAGCAAUGCAUUUUGAUUCCUUACUUUAAUAACCUACUAGCUCUGGCAACAAAGCUUUGCAGCAUUAUUAUGGUAUUAGUUUACUGUAGCCUUGAAAAGAUGAUGAAUCCUUUUAAAAUCUGUCUAAUCAUCAGACUCUUUGGUAAAUUCCAACAUUUGAAGUGAGGGCAAUUGAAAAAUUUUGUUGAAAGUAGCAUAUUUUGAAAUCUAAGAUAUCAAGGCGUCCUUUCUAAAAGACUGAACACCCAAAUAACAGGCUGAACACCCCAAGAACACCCUAAGAACAAGCCAUAAAAUCCCCAUUAAGCAGCUGAACUUACUUUAAAACAUAUCAAAAUCGGCAUAUCAUUCCAAAAAUAAUUUGGUCAAUCAAUCAAAAUUAAUUUUGGGGCGGAAAAGGGCCUGAUAAGUCUAAUGCUGUUGAAGUUGUUACAACCAACUGAUGCUUUGCGCGCCAAAGGUGUGAACGGGGGUUAAUACCGUCAACUGAAGCCACAGAAUAGGGAUUCCGUGCUUGAGUGAUCUUCAUUUUAUCGAGUGAACAAUGGAUGCUGUCGCAAAAGAGAAACUUCCAUUAUCACAAAAUUAUCACAAAGACCAUUCUAAACACUUAAAUGUUGUUUUCAGUUUAAAAUGGUGUGAGAAAAUACUUGAAACAAUUAUACAGGCUCAGGCUGAGGAAGCAUUGAAUACCAGGGCGAUUUACCUCUUACUCCUCUUAUUGUAGGUAUCAUACAUAGAAAGGGGGGUUAAUUUAAAAGCAAAAUAAACAGGUUUUGCGAAAUGAUGUUUUUGGUGUAAGAUUAAUAGAAAGGCACUUACCAAAAAAACCAAAUAAAGGGUGCUAGUUUCAAAUGAUUACAAUAUCAUUGCAUAAAUUACAAACAAGUAGCCAUUGCUGAAAGCUGAAAUCGGGUGAAGCCUUUAUGGGUUUGGCAGGCAUAUUUACUUUUUAAUCCAAAAUUGUUAAUCUACAGGCACUAUGGAGCAGGAGGCCUGAGGGGCUUUAGCCCCCCCCCCCCUCCACGCAGAAAAUGCAAAAUAUAAAGGAAUGAACCACCAUUAAAACUUCUUUUUAUUCAAUUUUUGCCCCCACACUUUUUUAGACCCCCCCCACUUUUCAAAAUGCUCUGCAGUGCCUGAUCUACAAAAUGCCAAACAGUAAUAUUUUGUUGUCCAUUGCUAUAGCUUUUAUUGGCAUUUAAAAAUUUGAAGUAUUUCUAAUUAUUUAACUUUUUAGUAAGCCAUAAAGGCACUUAUAAAUAUUUGAAUAUGUAUGUAAUUGUAAUGUAACAAGGUAGGGGACUGUUUAUUAUUUGUGCAUGCAUGAAUAAAUAUUCACCCAUGACCUGUGAAUUAGCAUAAUUCAUUAUGUGAUUGAAUGAAAAUGAUUGCUGCAAGUAAAUUUCAAAAUGGGGUGCCUACUUUU